CAUAAUAGAGAAUAACUCUCAUGAGAUCUGAUGGUUUUAUAAAGGGCAGGUUCCCUGCACAAGCUCUUUUCUCCUGUCUGUUGCCAUGUGAGAAGUGCCUUUCACCUUCCGCCAUGAUCGUGAUGCCUUCCCAGCCACGUAGAACUGUGGGUUAAUUAAACUUCCUUUUCCUUAUGAAUUAUCGAGCAUUAGAUAUGUCUUUACAGCUGCAUGAAAACAGGGUAAUAUAGAUGGGUAUGGUGGUUUUAAUAUUUGUAACAAGAAAGAACUAGCGUAAUAUGGCCUGUCCCCUUCCUAGGUGUCAGGAGGGCCACCCCUCCCAAAGGAGCGCUUGUGAGCAGAGGUGAUCAGAGGACUUUCUGAAGAGUGAGGAGGUGAGGUCACUGCAUUUGUUGGGCAACACUUGUAUUUGACUCUCACAAGAGAGAUUUCUUUUCUAAGUUUCUGUUUGUAUAUACUAGUGAUUUCAGAGGGCCAAAAAGAAGAAAAGGGAGGGAGCCAGUCAUUAAGGCCCCUAAUCUCAGCUUAUUUUGACUGCUUCUCAACACAGCAUUACAAGUGGUUGAUUUGAUGGAUGUGGCAUGUGACCAAGUUCUGACUAAUGAGAUGUCUGAAACUUAAAGUGGAAGAGAUAUAUCGUCUCCUUUUCCUUGCUCCAUCCUGCUACCUGAAAAAUGGAUGUGGUGACAAGCUCUGGAAAACCACAAGGAUGAGGACAGCACUGGAGAGAUGGUGAAAUGAUUUCAUCAGCACCUAAUGAAAUUGCCUGGGGACUGACUUACACUUUGGCUAAACCAUCCGGACCUUCAGGUUGAAAACUAAAAUCACUGCCUCAGGGUUACCCAAUGGAUUCUAUUGCUGGAGUACACAAAGAAGAAGAUGGAAAUGGGCCUGAGGGAGAGUCUAUGUGCUGGACCAGAGUCCGUGCAGAGACAUAAUCACAGAACCAGAUGAGACAUUUUGCCAACUUUUAUCAGGGGCAAAAGCCAAGGUCUCUUGCAUCUCAGCCUGGUGCAGGGAUCAUUCUCCUGAUGUUUCAUCCUUUUUAAAGAACUAUCAGAAACCAAAUCUUAAGUAGGUGUACCUGAGAUAUUUUUCCAGUUUUUCCCUUUUCUUAUUUUCGAUGUAGCUGUGUGUUUCUCCUUGUCCAUUCCUCAUUUACUAAACUUUCUAUAGAAUAUCUUUUCUACUUAAAACUAGCCCCAUGAUUCAAAAGUAACCCUUGCUGAUUUUGUGCCUUCUCUCACUUUGUGUUUUGGGGAAUGAGGCAGAUGGUGAUUAUUUCAUUUUUGUCCUUGUUAAUUUCUCGAAGCCGUACAUAUCCCUCUCUUUGGUUUGUGAAAGAGUCAGUGUUUCAUUGUCAAUAGCAUCCUAUUUACUUGUCAAACCCCUGGGUUCCAUUUAGAUUCAUUCUUCACAAGGCAUUAAAGUAAGGCAGCGUUUUCAUAGAGUUACAAUAUCUUAUUGUUGAAGGUGUCAUCUAGUCCAAUCUCACAACUAGUACAAAAGACUUACAGUUAUUGGCUAGCUGUGUGUUUGAGCAACUUGCUUAAUCCCUUUGAAUCUGAUUCACACUAAGUGUGAAUAAAUGUCUGUAGUUUACGGUUGGUAGUGCUUCAGUAGCAGUAGUAAUAACCUGGAAUGAUACCACUUGCUAGAGUAGUUGUUAAUAAAGUUUAGCCUUCCCUUGUUACCUCACAACAAGGUCUCUUUCACAUCUGUGCAGUUAAAAUAUUUUAGUCACUCUUUGGUUAAAAUGAACUAAUUCCCCAUAGUCUCCAACCAUUUGCCCCAGGCCUUCCUGGGUAAAGCUUGGAGAAUGAAUCUACACAGUCCACAGGAUGCUGAUUCUUCCCAGCAAAGCUUUCCAUUCCUCUGGCUGAACUUUCUCAGUGAUUCUAACACACUAACAUUGUCAGACAUGAUGGAGAUUCAGAUCAAAGUCUCUUUCAUGAAGCUGGCUUCUCUGCUCUGGAUGACCCUCCAUACCCUGUGUUCCUCUUAAGGUAUAGUACACAGACGCAAAGCACAAAGUUCAGGGGCUGAACCUGACUUUUGAUGGACAUAUCUAGUAUUAU